CUGGAGAAAUAGUGUGGCAUGAAGUGCAGAUGCAGCGUCAGCGGAAACAGGCCAGCCCUGUCUUUAUGAUCUGCCAUAGGGCAGGAGUCCAGGCAGGUGCAUGUGCAUUGGAUAAAAGAAGACAGAUGAGGGAGGAAGAAAGCACUGAAUGAACUUCUGCAGAAAUUCCAUGGACCAGUUCCAGGAGCACUAGCCCAGGGUAUCAGAUCUGAAACCUCUUAUACAUAAUGCUCGGAACAUGGGGUUUUCCGGAUCAUGUAUCUUUCGUAAUUUGGAUCAUCAUAAGUAGUUGCUGACAGACAUCAUCUUGGGAAUAAUGUGACAUCUCAGUUUUCCUAGCCAAACAUGAAGGCACACUGGGACUUUUUUGCGGAAAAUGAACUAUAACUGUGCUAAAUGACUUAGAGAUUUCCUUAGAGUAUUUUAUUGGACUUCAGCGUUGUACAAACUGAAAUAAACUGUGUUUCUUGAAAACCCAA